AAACUUAAAUGAAUUGACGGGGGCCCGCACAAGCGGAGGAACAUGUGGUUUAAUUCGAUGAUACGCGAGGAACCUUACCUGGGCUUAAAUGUAGAGUGCAUUGAGAGGAAACUUUCAUUUUCUUCGGAACUCUUUACAAGGUGCUACAUGGUUGUCGUCAGCUCGUGCCGUGAGGUGUCGGGUUAAGUCCCAUAACGAGCGCAACCCUUAUCGUUAGUUGCCAGCGGGUAAUGCCGGGGACUCUAGCGAAACUGCCGGUGUAAACCGAGAGGAAGGUGGGAUGACGUCAAAUCAGCACGGCCCUUAUGUCCAGGGCUACACACGUGUUACAAUGGCCGGUACAGAGGGCAGCUACCUGGAGACAGGAUGCGAAUCUCGAAAGCCGGUCUCAGUUCGGAUCGGAGUCUGCAACUCGACUCCGUGAAGCUGGAUUCGCUAGUAAUCGCGCAUCAGCCAUGGCGCGGUGAAUACGUUCCCGGGCCUU
rnacentral:rRNA from 1 species